GGUAUGCACAGAGCAGCCACGUGGGAAAAGUGGCACAAGAAACCAAGAGCAUGAUGUUGGAAGAGAUCUACUAAUACACUUGUGUGAUCAAACACUAAAAAUCUUCAGAUGUUACAGGACUCAGACUUGUUGAAGCUUCCACUUACUGCCAAUUCUGCUAAGCACUGACACAUGGACAUGGGCUAGUCUGAUCUUCACUGCCCCACCCCUGCAUGAAAAUGAUGUACUGACCUCACAGGACUCUUGUGGAAUUUAUCAGUACUGAAUCCAGCUGGAGUUAACCUGGCUAUCUUAACCUUCUGCAAAACAUGUAGCUCUGCAAGUCACAUGACAUCAAAUGACCAGCUGGUCCUGUAGAUCCCAAGGACCCAAUUGGACCUUGAGCUCCCAGAUCACCAGGCUGACCCUGAAAGAGUGCAAAGAAGUCUCCAGCACCACCUCUGAGAUGCCUGGGAUAAACUGCAAGCCCUCCUGGCUCCAUCGGCGUUAAGUAUCAUCCUCUGCAAGCAUAAGAUUCCACUGAGCAUCCCAUUUUUACCACCAGAGAAGUGAUCACUCAUUUUAGACAAAGGAACUUUGUGCACAGUUAG